UACGUAGGUGGCAAGCGUUGUCCGGAUUUACUGGGCGUAAAGAGCGCGCAGGCGGUCGUUCAAGUCGCGUGUGAAAGCCCCCGGCUCAACUGGGGAGGGUCACGCGAUACUGAUCGACUCGAAGGCAGGAGAGGGUAGUGGAAUUCCCGGUGUAGUGGUGAAAUGCGUAGAUAUCGGGAGGAACACCAGUGGCGAAGGCGACUACCUGGCCUGUUCUGACGCUGAGGCGCGAAAGCUAGGGGAGCAAACGGG
rnacentral:rRNA from 1 species